CGCACCCCUCGUCCUUAGUUGCCAGCAUUAAGUUGGGGACUCUAGGGAGACCGCCGGGGAGAACUCGGAGGAAGGUGGGGAUGACGUCAAGUCAGCAUGCCCCUUACGUCUUGGGCUACACACGUACUACAAUGGUUGGGACAAAGGGAUGCGAGACCGUAAGGUGGAGCGAAACCCAUCAAACCCAGCCCCAGUUCAGAUCGUCGGCUGAAACUCGCCGACGUGAAGGAGGAAUCGCUAGUAAUCGCAGGUCAGCAUACUGCGGUGAAUCCGUUCCCGGGUCUUGUACACACCGCCCGUCACACCAUGGAAGUUGGUAACAUCCGAAGUCGUUACUCCAACCGGUAUAGGAGGAGGACGCCGAAGGUGGGACUAGUGACUGGGGUG
rnacentral:rRNA from 1 species